rnacentral:rRNA from 1 species
AUGUGUCUGUAUCUGUGUGAAACUAGACAACCAAAAGAAAAGAUGUAUCGUCUUCGUAAUCGAUUAGGCUUAGCUGGUUUUGAAGGAGUUAGUAGUGAUGGUCGUAGUGGUGGUCUAGCUUUAUUUUGGCGUGAGUCUGUAUCCCUGGUUGUUCAAGAGGCUAAUAAUAGAUGGGUUGAUGCUUAUGUCCGUUUGUCACCUGAUGAUCCUUUGUGGCGUGCCACGAGUGGAAAAUAG